GACAGAGGGUGCGAACGUUGCUCGGAGUUACUGGGCGUAAAGCGUGUGUAGGCGGUCAUGCACGUCGGGUGUGAAAGCCCGGGGCUCAACCCCGGAAGUGCAUCCGAAACGACGUGACUGGAGUGGUGGAGAGGAGAGCGGAAUUCUCGGUGUAGAGGUGAAAUUCGUAGAUAUCGGGAGGAACACCAGUGGCGCAGGCGGCUCUCUGGACACACACUGACGCUGAGACACGAAAGCGUGGGGAGCAAACAGG
rnacentral:rRNA from 1 species